UCGAGAAUUUUUCUCAAUGGGCGCAAGCCUGAAGGAGCGACGCCGCGUGGGGGAUGAAGGGCUUCGGCCCGUAAACCCCUGUCAUUUGCGAACAAUUCGAUUCACCUAACACGUGAAGCGUUGAUAGUAGCGAAAGAGGAAGGGACGGCUAACUCUGUGCCAGCAGCCGCGGUAAUACAGAGGUCCCAAGCGUUGUUCGGAUUCACUGGGCGUAAAGGGUGCGUAGGUGGCGGGGUAAGUUCGAUGUGAAAUCUCUGGGCUCAACCCAGAAAUGGCAUUGAAUACUAUUUCGCUUGAGGGUCGGAGGGGAGACUGGAAUUCUCGGUGUAGCAGUGAAAUGCGUAGAUAUCGAGAGGAACACCAGUGGCGAAGGCGAGUCUCUGGACGACUCCUGACACUGAGGCACGAAAGCUAGGGGAGCAAACAGG
rnacentral:rRNA from 1 species